AUUGAACGCUGGCGGCAGGCCUAACACAUGCAAGUCGAGCGGAGCGGCGGACUGGUGAGUAAUGCCUAGGAAUCUGCCUGGUAGUGGGGGAUAACGUCCGCAAACGGGCGCUAAUACCGCAUACUAUCAGAUGAGCCUAGGUCGGAUUGGCUGGUGGGUGGGGUAAAGGACUACCAAGGCGACGAUCCGACACUGGUCUGAGAGGAUGAUCAGUCACCCGGGAACUGAGACAGGGUCAAGACUCCUACGGGAGGCAGAAGUGGGGAAUUUUGGACAAUGGGCGAAGGCCUGAUCCAGCCAUGCCGCGUGUGUGAAGAAGGUCUUCGGAUUGUAAAGCACUUUAAGUUGGGAGGCGUUACCAACAGAAUAAGCACCGGCUAACUUCGUGCCAGCAGCCGCGGUAAUUC
rnacentral:rRNA from 1 species